rnacentral:lncRNA from 1 species
UUGAAUAGGAUUUUCCUGAGGAGUGUGAUUUGAGAUAGGGUGUGAUUUGGGAGUUUGUGUGUGGUUUGAGAAGGAGAGUUGUAGGUAUAUUUAUAGGAAAGCGCGGCUCGUCAAUUCCACGUAAGCAAAAUCGUCGUUAAUACUUCGUACAUAAAAAUGCGGGCCUUUGUAAUUCCUCGCUAUUUCCUCGUACAAUAAAACGCGGGCCUUUGUAAUUGCUCGCUGAAAUCGAAUUUCCAGGGAUACUGAAGCUGAAAUGCGUCCUCUUCAAAUGUGAAUGGUUUGACCCCGUUGUCAACAGAGGUUUUCGGUCUAACAAAUUCGGUGUAGUUGAUGUCAACGG